ACGACCAUGAUCAGUCUGAGGAAAUUGUUCCUCUGCGGAAGGUUUGUCGUCGGCCUGAAACUGAUUAUAGGUUGCAGCAACUAAAUGCUGAAUCUGUGAAGCAGCAGAAAAUAGGUAAUGAUCCUACAACAGGCAAUACUAUGAAGGUUUACCCCCCAGCUGAUACACCACAGAAAGCCCAAACCGAAUCAAAGAUGAAACUAGCUGAACCAACACAAAAGCAGCCUGCACCGGAGUACACCAUCAAGCCAGAACCCAAUGUGUUUCCUAUGCCGCAAAAGCCUCGUACUGAUUCUCUAACAGGAAAUACUUUGGGGGAAACAACACCCAAGCUUAUGGAAGAAAUGGCGGAGAAGCCGGUAGCUGAAACAGCUGAGGCGCCUCAGGAAGAAAAAAUAGAGACGCCUCUGGCAGAAAUAACAAACAAAGCACCAGCAGAAGCACCAGAACAGCCUCCUGCCGAAACAACUCCUAAGCCUCUGGCAGAUUCUACAUCGAAGCCAGCUGAAGCAACAGAGGUGCUACCUGCUGAAACAACUCCUAAUCCUCUGUCUGUUUCUACAUCGAAGCAAGCUGAACCAACAGAGGAGACACCUGCUGAAACAACUCUUAAACCUCCAGCUGCAUCAACAUUGAAGCCAGAUGAAGCACCAGAGCAGCCUCCCGCUGAAACAACACCUGAACCUCCAGCUUCUUCAACGUCAAACCCAGUUGAAACACCAAAGAAUCCUCCUGCUGAAACUACUUCCGUAGAGGAAACAACUCUUGAGCCUCCUGCUGAAACAACUCCUGAACCUCCGGCUGAUGCAACAUCAAAGCCAGCCGAACAAUCAGAGGAGCCUCCUGCU
rnacentral:misc_RNA from 1 species